CCCAGACAUGUGAAGCGUACUCCAUACAUGGACGGAUAAGGCCCUUGUACAGAGUUAGCAGCUGGGGGGGUGAGAAAAAUUGGCGGAGACGUCUCAGAACACCUAACUUCAUAGAAGCUGUUUUAGCUAGAGAUGAGAUGUGAAGUUUCCAGUUCAGAUUAUAAGUAAAGGACAGACCGAGGAUGUUCAGUGUAGAAGAGGGGGACAGUUGAGUGUCAUUGAAGAAGAGGGGAGAGUUGUCUGGAAGGUUGUGUCGAGUUGAUAGAUGGAGGAAUUGAGUUUUUGAGGCAUUGAACAAUACCAAGUUUGCUCUGCCCCAAUCAGAAAUUUUAGAAAGAUCAGAAGUCAGGCGUUCUGUGGCUUCCCUGCGUGCUAUGUUUACCUCCUGAAGGGUUGGACGUCUAUGAAAAGACGUGGAAAAGUGCAGGGUGGUAUCAUCAGCGUAGGAAUGGAUAGGACAAGAAGUUUGGUUUAGGAGAUCAUUAAUAAAUAAUAAGAAGAGAGUGGGUGACAGGACAGAACCCUGAGGAACACCACUGUUAAUAGAUUUAGGAGAAGAACAGUGACCAUCUACCACAGCAGCAAUAGAAUGGUCAGAAAGGAAACUUGAGAUGAAGUUACAGAGAGAAGGAUAGAAACCGUAGGAGGGUAGUUUGGAAAUCAAAGCUUUGUGCCAGACUCUAUCAAAAGCUUUUGAUAUGUCCAAGGCAACAGCAAAAGUUUCACCAAAAUCUCUAAAAGAGGAUGACCAAGACUCAGUAAGGAAAGCCAGAAGAUCACCAGUAGAGCGGCCUUGACGGAACCCAUACUGGCGAUCAGAUAGAAGGUUGUGAAGUGAUAGAUGUUUAAGAAUCUUCCUGUUGAGGAUAGACUCAAAAACUUUAGAUAGGCAGGAAAUUAAAGCAAUAGAACGGUAGUUUGAGGGAUUAGAACGGUCACCCUUUUUAGGAACAGGUUGAAUGUAGGCAAACUUCCAGCAAGAAGGAAAGGUAGAUGUUGACAGACAGAGCUGAAAGAGUUUGACUAGGCAAGGUGCAAGCACGGAGGCACAGUUUUGGAGAACAAUAGGAGGGACCCCAUCAGGUCCAUAAGCCUUCCGAGGGUUUAGGCCAGCGAGGGCAGGGAAAACAUCAUUGCGAAGAAUUUUAAUACGUGGCAUGAAGUAGUCAGAGGGUGGAGGAGAGGGAGGAACAAGCCCAGAAUCAUCCAAGGUAGAGUUUUUAGCAAAGGUUUGAGCAAAGAGUUCAGCUUUAGAAAUAGAUGUGAUAGCAGUGAUGCCAUCCGGUUGAAGUAGAGGAGGGAAAGAAGAAGAAGCAAAGUUAUUGGAGAUAUUUUUGGCUAGAUGCCAGAAAUCAAGAGGGGAGUUACAUCUUGAAAGGUUUUGACAUUUUCUGUUAAUGAAGGAGUUUUUGGCUAGUUGGAAAACAGACUUGGCAUGGUUCCGGGCAGAAAUAUAAAGUGCAUGAGAUUCUGGUGAUGGAAGGUUUAAGUACCUUUUGUGGGCCACCUCUCUAUCAUGUAUAGCACGAGAACAAGCUGUGUUAAACCAAGGUUUAGAAGGUUUAGGACGAGAAAAAGAGUGAGGAAUGUACGCCUCCAUGCCAGACACUAUCACCUAUGUUAUGCGCUCAGCACACAAAGACGGGUCUCUGACACGAAAGCAGUAGUCAUUCCAAGGAAAAUCAGCAAAAUACCUCCUCAGGUCCCCCCAACUGGCAGAGGCAAAACGCCAGAGGCACCUUCGCUUAGGGGGAUCCUGAGGAGGGAUUGGAGUGAUAGGACAAGAUAAAGAUAUGAGAUUGUGAUCGGAGGAGCCCAACGGAGAAGAAAGGGUGACAGCAUAAGCAGAAGGAUUAGAGGUCAGGAAAAGGUCAAGAAUGUUGGGCGUAUCUCCAAGACGGUCAGGAAUGCGAGUAUGGUGUUGCACCAAUUGCUCUAGGUCAUGGAGGAUAGCAAAGUUGUAGGCUAGUUCACCAGGAUGGUCAGUGAAGGGAGAGGAAAGCCAAAGCUGGUGAUGAAUGAUGAAUGAUGAAUAGGUGUGGGUGAGUUCAAGUGAUAUUAUGGGCUUGUUAGGUGGGUGUGGGUAUGAAGUUAGGAAUGUGUAAUGUAAUGAGUGUGAUGUUUGGUCAUGGGUGUAUUGGCCAUAAGUUUGUGAGGAAUGGGUGUGUUGAGUGUUAAUGUAAAGAUUACACUAUGUAACAAGAUUUUAUUUUUAUCUUGUCCUUGGCCCCAAACCAUAAUUUUCCAGUUAUUUCCAUCUAAACAAACAAACAAAAAAAAAAAAAACUUAAAACUUUGCUUGUGUGGUUAGAAAAAUGAAUUUACAUUUUUGCCUAAUUUCAUUAUAGUAUGGGUUACUAUUGGUUUUCAUAUCAGGUAAAGACCUUUGCAAAAUCUCAACUGCUUAUCUGAUUGCUAUUGAAAUGUUGCACAUCAGUUAAAACAAUGAAAGAAAGAAUAUAAAGUGCUCUAAAGAUUUUUUAUUUUAAUAAGAUUAUUCUUGAACAUACCAGAUGUAGCAAGAAAUUUCUCAUAUUUAGAAGAAUUUGCUUACAUUUCAGAAAUCUUCUCAACUCUUCCAGAAUGUUUUACUAAACACUUUAGAAGUUUCUACAACAUUUUAGAAAAUUCUAUUCAAUAUAAACAUUUCCAGAAUAUUCUAGAACUUUCUAGAAUACAGCAGAAAUAUAUAGAAGUAUCAAAGAUUUUCUAGAAUCUACAAGAAUUUUCUAGAAUGAUUCAGUAUAUUCUAAAAUAGAUUCAAGAAUAUUCUAGAAAGAUUGAGAACAUUCUAGAACACAUUUUAGAAAGACUAAUAAUAUUCUAUAGUACUGUUUGACAAUAUAAAAAUAGGGACUUGCAGACCACCAAUCAGUUCUGCUUUUGCUGCCUUAGAAGACACAUUACAAGAGGUGAAAUGGCAUCAAGAGGCUGCAGUCAUUCUCCAGGUGCAUUCUGCUACAUAUGUAUUCAAUUUUAUCAAGACAAAAGCAAAGAAGUUAUCUGUAACAGCAUCUAUAAAAAAAAAAGGUGGCAUUUAGCUAUUUUGAGGCAAAAAAUCAUUCUAAAGUCACAAAAGCAAAGUUUUAUAGGAAUAAUGGAUAUUUUCUAUUGUUUUGCAAUGAAAAGAGUUGGAAAAUAACAUUUGCUUGUCAAAGACAAAAAUCGUGUUACAUAAUGUUAUUACUACAUUUUGAUAAUAUCAUAUGCCUUUGUUCGUCGGAAACAAGUCUUAACUAGAAGCUAUAAAAAAAUGUUGCAUCAAUAAAUAAUAUAGCUGUUCUUAAUCUGGGUUAAAUAUAUACCAUGUGAUCGAAACAUUAAUGAAUAAAAAGCAUUGCUGAUAUAUAUUUCUGCAAUAGUAUAUAUGUACUGCACUUAUAGAAACAAAAGUGAGACAGGAAAAAAAUAAUAAAGAUAGGAUUCCAGUAAUAGCUGAGUUGAUAAAAUAGUGCCAUCUGUGGUUCACAGCUCUGUAGAGUUGGACUUAAUUAUUCAUAACGAUCAUCUCAGUGGUCCAAGAAGCGUUAAAACUAUAUCAACACUGUCUUGGGGCUCGUGCCCGUCAGUCGUGGGGGACAUCAAUAAAAGAAGCUACAUUACAAAAAUAAGAGUGUGCCAUUGAAAGUGAGUCAAGCAUAGUAAUCUUCAUGGCACCCUUGAUACGGCGGUAGCAGGCGCUCACGUCGUCAAUGUUGAGGUAAAUGAGCAAUUAUACUCCAUUAAUGAUUAAUAUUGAAUUACUGUCGAUAAUGUAAUGUCAGUUAGUGGCCGUCAGUCAUAAAAGGAAUUCCAGUCCGAGUACUAAACUGCGAAUACAAUGUAGGCAUGUACAACAAUAUGUGACCACCUCUACGAAACCUAACUGAGGCUCCCAAAACCUGUGCCCGCGGCCCAGCACUGGUGGGAGACUCGCGGCGCGUGGGGGAAGAGGCUGCCCGCCGCCCUGCUCUCCUCUCUUCUACCAUGAAGAAAUUUUUAAAAAUAUAUAGAAAAUACGAGUGAUUUUUAGUUCAGUGUGUGUCUAUUACCCGUGUUGCAAUUCGGAGGGAGCGUGAAGGUGCGCGUGGGCACACGCGCCGCCCGCAGGAAGCUGUAAUAAGGUAAUCAGGAAAGUGUGGUUCGUCCGCCUUGAUCUCCGCUGAUCCCUGCUGACCCCCGCUGACCUCCACGCCUCAGUUCUCCCCCUCACCUGCCUCGCCUCACCUACCCGCCCUGGCCUACACCUAUAUGUUUAAGUCACCCCCGUCACGCUACUCUUAACACCCUCCACUGUACCUCCCUGCACCGUAUGAAGUGGUGAUCUGAUUUGAGCAGCUCGAGGCGGCGGUCAGCGGCGGGGUCCGAAUAUUGGAAACUGUUAAUGAAUUGUACUGCUCGAGGGGACCCUGUGGUGGUGGUGGUGGUGGUGGUGGUGAGUACACUUUCAUUGUCUCUAAAUUUCUCUUGUUGUUCUCUUACAUUUAUUUUUCCCUCUUGGUUCUUUCCUUUUGGUGUCUUUUAUCAUGUUCUGUUUUGUGUGUCUUUUAUCAAGCAAGUCUGGUUCUUGUUUCUCUUUCAUCUCCUUCACUUCCGCUUCUACUUCUUCCUUCUCCUCGCUGUUCUUGAUCUCGUCCUUCUUCUUCUUCUUUCUCCUCCUCCUCUUCCUUCUCCUCGUCCACCUUAACCUCCUUCACUUCUUCAUUUCUUCGUCUUCUACCUUGUCCUCGUCCUCCACCUUAUCGUGCUCAUUCUCCUUCAUCUUGUUUUCUUCGUCCUCCUCCUCCUCCUCCUCCUCCUCCUCCUCCUCUUUCUUCUUUAUCUCAUCCACUUAAUGUUCCUUCACCUACUCAUCCUCAUCCUUCAUCUCAUCUUCAUCCUCCUUCAUCUUCUCGUUACCCUCUUCCUCCACCUCAUCCUCCACCUUGUCCUCGUCGUCGUGAGGUGAGAGGCGUGCAAGUCAA